rnacentral:rRNA from 1 species
UAUUUUAAAGAGAGUUUGAUCCUGGCUCAGGACGAACGCUGGCGGCGUGCCUAAUACAUGCAAGUCGAACGAACGGAGGAAGAGCUUGCUCUUCCAAAGUUAGUGGCGGACGGGUGAGUAACACGUGGGCAACCUGCCUGUAAGUUGGGGAUAACUCCGGGAAACCGGGGCUAAUACCGAAUGAUAAGAUGU